UACGUAGGCAGCGAGCGUUGUUCGGAAUUACUGGGCGUAAAGAGUGUGUAGGCGGUGCUCUAAGUUCGGUGUGAAAUCUCCCGGCUUAACUGGGAGGGUGCGCCGGAAACUGGAGUGCUUGAGCGUGGGAGAGGAAAGCGGAAUUCCUGGUGUAGCGGUGAAAUGCGUAGAUAUCAGGAGGAACACCUGUGGUGUAGACGGCUUUCUGGACCAUAGCUGACGCUGAGACACGAAAGCGUGGGUAGCAAACAGG
rnacentral:rRNA from 1 species